AAUUCACUCACAUUUAAUGCGCCAGUUAUUCUGGAGGGUGCAGACGGAUUUCUUCAACACAAGACCAUUGGAAUUGGUCCUAAUCAUCUCUAUUUAAAAGAGCCAUGUCCUUCAGAACUGAUCAUCGUAUAAUCUUGCUAUUGCUGUGAACAAUGAUCUCCUGGUUCUGCUCAUUUCACUUAGCAUCAAUUCAUAAGCUGUGUUUAAAAUGAAAACUGAGCCAUGCCCAAUGAGUUGCAGAAAAAGGAACUUGGAGACAGCAAUACAUGUGUAUGGGGGAAAAGGAUUAAUGAAUUUCUUCCUCACCAGAUUCCAAAGAAACAUUGAUGGCUGAGAUUUUAUAUGGAGAUUGUACAGUUUGUACCAAAGAGGAUUUCUUCUACUGAACCAAAGGCUAAUAUGCUGAAAAUAGCCUCAAGUUGUUUUUGGAUAUUUUGAUUGGUAGUGGAAAAAAAUAUUCCUGGAGCCUUUUCUGUCCUUUAACUAUUGUGCAAAAACCUUUCUUACAGUUUGUUGAGAAGCUGUAAUAGAGUGACUAUUGUUUUUAAUGCUUCAUUGAUGCUUUGAGUUUUUAUGUCACAAUGUUUUCAGGAUACAUAUUUUCUUUUCACAUUACAAAAACGAUCCUAUAUUGUUUAAUUCAGGGUUCAAAUCUAAACAGUUGUACAAAACUUUCCUCAUUAGUGGGGAGAAUGAUGCCUGACUGUUCUAUACUUUCAUAAGAGGUGGAGUUAAUGAGAGCCAAGAAUGAGGGAGAAUGUUCUCUCCUGAAACCAGAUACCCAAAAAACAAUUCUCAUCUUUUAAGUUCUCUCCAGUUCUACCUUUUAGGUAGAUUCAAAGUGAUGAGUAAUAAUUCUCUUUAGCAAUGAAGAGAGUUCUCUUUAGCAAUGAAGAUAAAUUUUUACAAAAAAUUUAGGUUCAAAUCCUAGAUUACCUUUGUAACAAAGAAAAUCAGUGAAGCAAACUGACAAUAAUGGCAUGCAAGAGUAUAGUGUAAUUGUAUUACUAAUCCCCUAUCUUUCUAUUGCAAGGAAGGAGAUGAUUACACACGUUUUCUCCAGGGUUCACCUUUAUUCUAG
rnacentral:lncRNA from 1 species